rnacentral:rRNA from 1 species
UACGGAGGGGGCUAGCGUUGUUCGGAAUCACUGGGCGUAAAGCGCACGUAGGCGGACUCUUAAGUCGGUGGUGAAAUCCUGGAGCUCAACUCCAGAACUGCCUUCGAUACUGGGAGUCUUCGAGUCCGGGAGAGGUGAGUGGAACUGCGAGUGUAGAGGUGAAAUUCGUAGAUAUUCGCAAGAACACCAGUGGCGAAGGCGGCUCACUGGCCCGGUGCUGACGCUGAGGUGCGAAAGCGUGGGGAGCAAACAGG